UAACUGUGAAGGAUCGAGGUCGAGGCU
rnacentral:sRNA from 1 species